UAGAAUUUCACAUCUAAAUGGUGUGUUUAGAGGGCCAUCUCCUGCUCGAGAGCUGGUUACUGUGGAUCACAGCUGUUUCUCAACAUCACAUGACCCUUGGACAACAGAUAACACAAAAGAACAGAAUGAUCUAGCUGUGGGUGCCGCAGAGUGUCUGCUCUAUUCAGGUCCAGGGCAUGUGAAUUCCGUAAGAGUUUGACAACUAAAACGGCUACCUUCAAAAACUGGCAUAUCAAUUUGGGCUCUAUUUUUUCUUUGAAAAAGCCCCUCCAUCGACUGGUUGGAUGCUUGGUCGGAAGUUUGGGGCUGGAUCUAUCCAUCUCGAUCCACCAGAUGUUUGAUGAAACCAACGCAGGGUAUCUAUUUACAUCACUCCAAAGAUCACAAAAUACAACAAGUUGAGGAUGUUGUCAAAUAUGACUCUGCCAGAUUGAUUCAACCAAGCUGUGUUGACUGAUGUUUUUGGAUUCCAACAAUUUGUCUGUCAUACCAUCCUGUCCACUCAUGUUUUAAUAUUUCACACGAGUCCUGACUUUGCCUCAUCUCUGGUGAUUUGUGACCCUGUUGCUGCUAUAAUGGGUUGAGCGGCGACACAGGCAUGUUUCGGAUGUCAGUAACUUGUCACUCAAAUUGUGCCAUUUGAAGAUCCAGGUUGGUAAUGGCCCAGUCGUGAUUGCUCCGCUGUCCGUAUGUACCCCCUGCCACCCACAAGCAUGGCUCGAUAGAUCAAGAUUUCACCGGGACCCAGCAAGAAUAGCUGCACGAGGGCAUACACCUCAUUCCAUUACAUGUCUCCGUCCGCUUGCUCAUCUAGCUCGAAAUGAAGCUGUUGGCAUCCGCUUUUGAUUGACUCUCUGUGGAAGUUCAUCUAUGUUUUAAAAUGAGGUUGGAAUACACUCGAGUCAGUCAGACACUCAAACAAAGAUGUCUGCUGGAAAUGGGAACCUCCUCGAUCUGGUUGUUGGAUAUUCCUUGAAAAUGAAAUGCAUGAGGGGCAAUACUGUUGGAAAUGAAUAAACAAACAAACACGAGCAAUAACUGAGGAAGUGUCAUCAUGAAAUUGCUUAUCAGACACAACUGACCUCUCAGUGAUAACAAGUUUGUAAUCUCAAUGUUCAUUUGGGCAUAAAACUACACCCAAA